AGCGAUACUGACGUGCAAAUCGUUCGUCUGACUUGGGUAUAGGGGCGAAAGACUAAUCGAACCAUCUAGUAGCUGGUUCCCUCCGAAGUUUCCCUCAGGAUAGCUGGAGCACAAUACGAGUUCUAUCAGGUAAAGCCAAUGAUUAGAGGCAUUGGGGACGCAACGUCCUCGACCUAUUCUCAAACUUUAAAUAGGUAGGAUGGCUCGGCUG
rnacentral:ncRNA from 1 species